rnacentral:rRNA from 1 species
CAAUACCUGAGUAAAGUGGCGCACGGGUGAGUAACACGUGACUAACCUACCCUGGAGUGGGGAUAACUGAGGGAAACCUUAGCUAAUACCGCAUAAUACCCACGGGUCAAAGGAGCAAUUCGCUCCAGGAGGGGGUCGCGGCCGAUUAGUUAGUUGGCGGGGUAAUGGCCCACCAAGACAGUGAUCGGUAUCCGGCCUGAGAGGGCGCACGGACACACUGGAACUGAAACACGGUCCAGACUCCUACGGGAGGCAACAGUGGGGAAUUUUGCGCAAUGGGGGAAACCCUGACGCAGCAACGCCGCGUGGAGGAUGAAGUACUUCGGUACGUAAACUCCUUUCGAUCGGGACGAUAAUGACGGUACCGGAAGAAGAAGCCCCGGCUAACUUCGUGCCAGCAGCCGCGGUAAUACGAGGGGGGCAA